GACGAACGCUGGCGGCGUGCUUAACACAUGCAAGUCGAGCGGUAAGGCCCUUUCGGGGGUACGACGAGCGGCGAACGGGUGAGUAACACGUGGGUGACCUGCCCUUAGCUCUGGGAUAAGCCUGGGAAACUGGGGUCUAAAUACCGGAUAUGACUCCAUGACGCAUGUUGUGGGGUGGAAAGCCUUGUGCGGCUAGGGAUGGGCCCGCGGCCUAUCAGCUUGUUGGUGGGGUGAUGGCCUACCAAGGCGACGACGGGUAGCCGGCCUGAGAGGGCGACCGGCCACACUGGGACUGGAGACACGGCCCAG
rnacentral:rRNA from 1 species